UUUUGGCUGCACUGGGUCUUUGUUGCCGCGCUGGCUUUCUCUAGUUGUAGCAAAUAGGGGCUCCUCUCUAGUUGUGAUGCAUGGGCUUCUCAUUACAGUGGCUUCUCUUGUUGUGGAGUAUGGGCUGUAUAGCUCAGGCUCAGUCAUGGUGGGCCACAGGCUUAGUUGCUCCGCGGCAUGUGGAAUCUUCAGGGAUUGAACCUGUGUUCCCUGCAUUGGCAGGCGGAUUCCAUACCACUGAGCCACCAGGGAAGUCCCAUCUGUGCAUCUCUGAUUUAUCUCUUCAACAAGGCCAGGAGGGCCCAGCCUUGCCGGCUUGAGGACUCAGUAAAUAUUUGUGGACUUAUCAACUGAUUGAUUGGUGCGGUCAGACAGGAGGCCUGGGACAAAGAUGCCUGAGAACUAAGAAGUGUCCCUCUCACCCUGGGCCCAGUGUCAGGGAGCUGGAGACACACAGGUGGAGACUCCAGGGCCCAGCAGUUCCAAGAUGGUGGACCCCUGGGCUCUGAACCUUGUGGACCCCAAAUCUUGUAUCUCGCCAACAACCAGGAUGGAUGGAGGCCCAGCUUCACGUGGGAUGAUGACACAAGUCAUCCUGCCCUCAUCCCACCCCUGCCUUGGGAUCCUCAGGAGUCAGGUGGACAGAAAAGAGAUGACGCUAUCAGGGCCGGAUCCAUGAGGGUGAAGGAGUGGCCAUCGACUGCCUGAGGACAGCAGCAGAAGGAGCAUCAGGACCGCCUCUGGGUUCCAGCACCACACACACCGGAACUCAGUUAUAUGUCACAGACUUGUGUUGUUGCUGCUGUCCAGUCACUCAGUCAUGUCCGACUCUUUUCGACCCCAUGAACUCCCUGUCCUUCAGCAUCCCCUGGGGUUUGCUCAAGUUCAUGCCCAUUGAAUCGGUGAGGCCAGUUCAACACUUCUGUACUCUACUCCUAUGAUCCCCAUUUUACUGAUGUCGAAACUGAGGGUCAGAAAAGACUGUUUCUUGCUCAAGACUGCACACAUAGAAAUAGCAGAAUCAAGAUAUAGACAGCGAAGAAAAUAAUAAGGCAAGUUAUAGCCAAGGAGAAAAUAUUUACAAUACAUAUGUCUGACAAAGGUACAAAAAAAUACAUGUACAUGUGACAAUACAUGUAUAGCCAACGAACGUUCAUGACUCAGUAACAAGAAUACAGUCUAAUUUUUUUUCCUUUUUGAUCACACCAAGUAGCUUGCAGGAUCUUAGUUCCCCGACCAGGGAUGGAACCUGGACUGCAUGAGUGAAACCACCAAGUCCUGACCACUGAACAGCUGGGGAAUUCCCCACAAACAAUCUAAUUUUUAAAUGGCCCAAAGAACAUACAGGAUGGCCAAUACGCAUGAAAGAGAUAUUUGACGUCACUCAUUAUCAUGGAAAUGCAAAUUAAAACCACAACAACUACCACCACACAUCCAUUAGAAGACUAACCAUGCUAAGUGUUGGUGAAGUUGUAGAACAACUGGAACUCGCAUAGGCCGAGAAUAGAAAUGUUCGAUGGUACAACUACUCUAGAAAAGUUGAUCCGUUUCUUUCAAAGUCAAACGUACAAUUACCAUAGGACCCAGUCAUUCCACACCCCCAAGAAACAUCUUCACACACAGACUUGUCCACCCAUGUUUGUAGCAGCUUAAUUCACAGCAGUCCAAACCUGGAAACAACACAAAUGUCCAUCAACAGGUGGCCAAACUGUCAUAUAUUCCAACAGUGGGAUCAUACGCAGCAAUAAAAAGGUAUGAACUACUGGCAAAACAACAACGUGGAUGAAUCUCAUAAACAUCAUGAAAAGUGAAAAGCAGCCAGAUGCCAAGAGUACAUAUUACAUAAUUCCAUUUAUAUGAAACUCUAGAAUAGACAAAUCUAAUCUAUAGUGACAGAAAGCAGAUCAGUAGUUGCCUGGGGCUGGGGGGAGGGUGGGGAUCGACUGGGAAGGGGCACGAGGGAGCUUUUGGGAAUGAUGAAAGUGUUCUAUAUCCUGAUGGUAGUGGUGCACAUAAAUUUGUCAGAACAUCAGAUUGAACAUUUCAAAUGUGUACAUUUUAUCCUAUGUCAAUGAUGCUUCAAUAAAGUUGAAAAAAGAAA